GCCCAUGCGUUUGCUCUUGGUCUUCUUGGUUUCACCUUUCGAUCUGCUGAAAGUGGAGAGAUUCACGUUUCUCUUUCUUAUUUCUCCAAACCCCAAUUUGCUAGAUCCAUUCGUGAAACCCUUUGCUCUUUCUCUCUUCGUUUCCGUUUUACGAUCUGAUCCAGGAUCAAUCAAUACAUCCUCCACAAUUGAUUGAGAUGGCUCCAGGUCCAGAUCCGAACAGCGUUGGUGAUGGUGCGAAGCGGGAUGAAGCUACGACCAAGGUUCCUUCUAAGGAUCCCAAAAAGAAGGAUGAUAAGAAAGAGGAAGAUCUGUCUGAAGAGGACUUGCAACUGAAGCAGAACCUGGAGCUCUAUGUUGAGAGGGUUCAAGACCCUAAUCCUGAACUGCAGAAGGCUGCUCUCGAAAGCAUGAGGCAGGAGAUCCGUGCCUCAACAAGCUUCAUGACGUCGGUUCCAAAACCCCUCAAGUUUCUCCGUCCUCACUAUGGAACUCUUAAGGAGUUUCAUAAAAAUAUGGUGGAGUUCGAUCUCAAGAAAUUGCUGGCUGAUAUACUAUGUCUGUCUUGGCACUGACCAUGUCUGCUGAGGGUCAAAGGGAAAGCUUAGGAUACAGGUUGACUGGAUCAAAGGGUGACAUCGGAUCUUGGGGUCACGAGUAUGUCAGGAAUUUGGCCGGUGAGAUUGCAGAAGAGUAUACAGUUCGUCAGGAUAGAAAACAGUUGUUCAUGAGUAGUUUAUGUUUGGCUUUUCUCUGCCGGUUCGUUAAUGAAUGUUAUAACAAUGAAUGUUAUUUAAAAUUACAUCUUUUUGAAAAAAUGAACCAGUGAAAGAAUAGUAUGCAAUCGUUCUUUGGAGCUAAACAUCGUUCCUUUGAUGAAUUGUCGAGAAUGUCACUGACCUACUUAGACAUCACAGAUUGCUACAUGUUAGACCGGAUGCCAAAGAGGGGAGCCUCAGUCAGGACUCUAGGGCAAAAUAUUGGAGCCAAAGAUACAGCCUCAAGGAGACUUCCAGAAAAUUUUAGUAAAUAGUUAAUCUAGAUCUAGAUAAAGCUACGGUGAAAGUUACCUCAAGAUGUGGAAGUAAUUCUAGAUCUAGAUGAAGCUACGGUGAAAGAGAUGAGAAAGCAAGAGGAGAUUGCUAAAGCCAAGCUAGCCAUGGAAAGGAAAAAGAAGCUGGCAGAGAAAGCCGCUGCUAAAGCUGCCAUAAGAGCUCAAAAGAAAGCUGAGAAGAAAGAACAAAAGGAGCGAGAGAAGGCGGCCAAGAGGAAGACAGGAGGCAGCAACGCAUACGAGGCCAUCUCUGAGGAAGUUCCUGAAGCUUCUGAGGCUGAGAAGGAGGAGAUUGAAGCUCCAGUGGAGGAGAAACCAAAGAAGGAAAAGAAAGUCUUGAAGGAGAAACCAAUAAGGAACAGGAUCUGCAAUAGAGGAGGACCGGAAACACUCCCGAGACCAAUGCUCAAGCGUAAGAAGCAGACUAACUACAUGGUUUGGGCUGCUCCAGCUGCUGUUGUGGUACUAAUGCUUCUUGACUUGGGUUACUACUACGUUUUCUAGAUCAAGGGAAGCUGUGUUUGCUGUAGUUUGAGUCUUUUUAAAGCUUUCUUUUGAGGAUGAGACUCUUUAAAAUUUAUGUCUCAUUUACAUACUGAGUAGAGACUCUUCCCUUUUUAAAUACUUUUUUACAUUUCA